rnacentral:rRNA from 1 species
GACGAACGCUGGCGGCGUGCUUAACACAUGCAAGUCGAACGGAAAGGCCCUGCUUGCAGGGUACUCGAGUGGCGAACGGGUGAGUAACACGUGGGUGAUCUGCCCUGCACUUCGGGAUAAGCUUGGGAAACUGGGUCUAAUACCGGAUAGGACCGCACUUUAGUGUGUGUGGUGGAAAGUUUUUUCGGUGUAGGAUGAGCUCGCGGCCUAUCAGCUUGUUGGUGGGGUAAUGGCCUACCAAGGCGGCGACGGGUAGCCGGCCUGAGAGGGUGUACGGUCACAUUGGGACUGAGAUACGGCCCAGACUCCUACGGGAGGCAGCAGUGGGGAAUAUUGCACAAUGGGCGCAAGCCUGAUGCAGCGACGCCGCGUGGGGGAUGAAGGCCUUCGGGUUGUAAACUCCUUUCGCUAGGGACGAAGCUUUGUUGUGACGGUACCUAGAUAAGAAGCACCGGCUAACUACGUG